UGUUUUCGAAUUUUUUCAUGCAUCAAAGCUCGUUAAGACUAGAUGGGGUAUCCCUACAUAGCGGGUGGGACCCACGGCGAAUGGUUCAUCAAGUCUUCAAAAAAGAAUAUAUACGAUUGCAUUGCAUAUACUAACGGAUGCGAUCAUACCAGCACUAAUGCACCGGAUCCCAUCAGAACUCCGCAGUUAAGCGUGCUUGGGCGAGAGUAGUACUAGGAUGGGUGACCUCCCGUGAAGUCCUCGUGUUGCAUCCCUCUUUUAUGUUUAACCUUUUUUUUUUUCGUU
rnacentral:rRNA from 1 species